rnacentral:rRNA from 1 species
UACCUGAAGGAAGAGAAAGAAAUUCGAUUCCGUAAGUAGCGGCGAGCGAACGCGGAUUAGCCCAAACCAAUAAAGUUUUCUUUAUUGGGGUUGCGGACAUAUUAUAACGAAGAGGUAUCGUAAUUGAAGAGGUUUGGAAAGACCCACCACAGAAGGUAAUAGUCCUGUAUGUUAAACGAGAAGACUUCAGAUAUGAUCCAGAGUA